GCCAUAGCUCAGUGGGAUGGCAUCUGCUUUGCAUGCAGAAGGUCCCAAGUUCACUCCCUGGCAUCUGCA
rnacentral:tRNA from 1 species